GCUGGGUGCUGAGGUGCACACCUGUUAUCCCAGUGGCUCCGGAGGCUGAGGCAGGAGGAUUGCAAGUUCAAAGCCAGCCUCAGCAAAAGCGAGGUGCUAAGUGAGACCCUGUCUCUU
rnacentral:sRNA from 1 species